GACAGAGGGGGCAAGCGUUGCUCGGAAUUACUGGGCGUAAAGGGCGCGUAGGCGGAAUGGCAAGUCGGUCGUGAAAUCCUUCGGCUCAACCGAAGAACGUCGAUCGAAACUGCCGUUCUUGAGGAUUGCAGAGGAGACUGGAAUUCCCGGUGUAGCGGUGAAAUGUGUAGAGAUCGGGAGGAACGCCGGUGGCGAAAGCGAUUCUCUGGUCCUCUCCUGACACUGAUGCGCGAGAGCUAGGGGAGCAAACAGG
rnacentral:rRNA from 1 species